rnacentral:tRNA from 1 species
GGGUUAUUAGCUCAGCGGUAGAGUGUUUCCUUUAUACAUAAAGGGAAAGACGAAAGUUCGAAUCUUUCAUAGCCCU